rnacentral:rRNA from 1 species
UACAGAGGGUGCGAGCGUUAAUCGGAAUUACUGGGCGUAAAGCGUGCGUAGGCGGUCCGCGAAGUCUGAUGUGAAAGCCCCGGGCUCAACCUGGGAACUGCAUUGGAAACUAACGGGCUCGAGUGUGGCAGAGGGGGGUGGAAUUCCACGUGUAGCAGUGAAAUGCGUAGAGAUGUGGAGGAACACCGAUGGCGAAGGCAGCCCCCUGGGCUAACACUGACGCUCAUGCACGAAAGCGUGGGGAGCAAACAGG